rnacentral:rRNA from 1 species
CCUACGGGGGACAGCAGUGGGGGAUAUUGCACAAUGGGGGAAACCCUGAUGCAGCGACGCCGCGUGUGGGAAGACGGUCCUCUGGAUUGUAAACCACUGUCCCCAGGGACGAAGCUGACGGUACCUGGGGAGGAAGCUCCGGCUAACUACGUGCCAGCAGCCGCGGUAAUACGUAGGGAGCGAGCGUUGUCCGGAAUUACUGGGUGAAAAGGGAGCGUAGGCGGGACUGCAAGUUGGGUGUCAAAUCUACCGGCUCAACCGGUAGCCGCACUCAAAACUGGAGUUCUUGAGUGAAGUAGAGGCAGGCGGAAUUCCUAGUGUAGCGGUGAAAUGCGUAGAUAUUAGGAGGAACACCAGUGGCGAAGGCGGCCUGCUGGGCUGUGACUGACGCUGAGGCUCGAAAGUGUGGGGAGCAAACAGGAUUAGAUACCCGUGUAGUC